UACAGAGGGGGCAAGCGUUAUUCGGAAUUAUUGGGCGUAAAGGGCGCGUAGGCGGCCUGGCAAGUGGAUGGUGAAAUCCCUCGGCUUAACCGAGGAACUGCCGUCCAAACUGCUUCGCUUGAGACCGGGAGAGGUGAGUGGAAUUCCCAGUGUAGCGGUGAAAUGCGUAGAUAUUGGGAGGAACACCAGUGGCGAAGGCGGCUCACUGGACCGGUACUGACGCUGAGACACGAAAGCUAGGGGAGCGAACGGG
rnacentral:rRNA from 1 species